AAUAAUAAAUAAAAUAAUAUUAAUAAUAUAUGUGGUGGAAGCGAAAAGAAGGACGGCAGUACAUACAUGAAGAUACUUUGGGAUGGUGGCGUAUGCACAAGCGUGUCUCCCGCCAGGGAUCCAAAGCACCACGUGUCACGGUUUCAGUGUACCCCAUCUCCACCGUCUGAUUCAUCUGACGGAUUUUAACACAUUCGCUUCUUCUCGUUUAUUCCUCUGAUUCUGAUCCUGAUCCAUCUCACGCGGCGAGAGGCGGAGCGUGCCGACAAAUGUCCCCUGUAAUAAUCGUCUCCAUCCAACGCCGUUACCUUGGACAACCGCUCCGUUAGCACGGCACACAGAGAUGCAAACGGCAUCAGGGAAAACGCCGCCUCUGCGGUAGUUGUUGGUGUCAGGUCCACGUGUCAUCCUUUGGAGGCAGCAACGUGGCCCCGUUGGGCCCUCCUUUUGCAAUUAUUAAUGUUGACGGUGGGCCCCGCCACCACGCUCUCUAUCGCGGCUGGGGCGGCGCGGCGCUUUAUGGAGCAUACCAUGAUGAUGCGCUAGUGCAUGAAUGAACACAGUGCAGUCAACGAACAUCGUUGACCGCGCCAAAUGUUUUAGAGGUGCUACCACCCACGUGUGGGGAGCGUUCGGAUACGCGCUCCACUUCUUUCCUUCACCACUUUUUUUUCCUACACGUGUAACCGCUUCAUUUUU
rnacentral:lncRNA from 1 species